CAGACCCGCAGUGUUUUAAUGGGGUGUUGGUUUUAAUUACAGUGCCUCCAGUCCAGACCAGCAGUGUUUUAAUGGGGUGUGUGGUUUAAUUACAGUGCCUCCAGUCCAGACCAGCAGUGUUUUAACGGGGUGUUGGUUUAAUUACAGUGCCUCCAGUUCCAGACCACGCAGUGUUUUUAACGGGGUGUUGGUUUUAAUUACAGUGCCUCCAGUCCAGACCAGCCGGUGUUUUAACGGGGUGUUGUUUAAUUACAGUGCCUCCAGUCCAGACCAGCAGCGUUUUUAAUGGGUGUUGUGGUUAUUACAGUGCCCCGUCCAGACCAGCAGCGUUUGCCGUUUCUUCCCAGAGUGUAAGACGAGGGACUGUCUCUUCUACCACCCCAGGUCAGAACAAUACUCACAACCAUUGAGGUUGAAAGGAGUUUGUCCUCAAAUACCUGUUUUGAGCUGUUUGUUAUACAUCUUUCAUUAGACACUAGUAAGGAAAAAGGAUGUCUUGAGUUCUGAUCAAAAUGUUGCCGUUAUCAACUUCAAGAUGAUGUUUGAAGUGGUUUUUCUGUCUCUCGUCAGCCGUGUCGGUUGGAGCCCAGUGUAAAACGUACCGGUUUCACCUUUACCACCCCACUGCCUCGGGUCCCCUCCCAGACACGCCCUCAAGUGGACA
rnacentral:lncRNA from 1 species